GCUCGAGUGGUGGAAUGGUAGACACGCCGGACUUAAAAUCCUGUGCUCUUUGGGGCGUGCGGGUUCAAGUCCCGCCUCGAGUA
rnacentral:tRNA from 1 species